rnacentral:rRNA from 1 species
GCGCAGGAAAAGAAACCAACAGGGAUUGCCUCAGUAACGGCGAGUGAAGCGGCAAAAGCUCAAAUUUGAAAUCUGGCGCCUUUGGCGUCCGAGUUGUAAUUUGUAGAGGUAGCUUUGGGUGUACAGCCAGGUUUAUGUUCCUUGGAACAGGACGUCAUGGAGGGUGAGAAUCCCGUAAAUGACUUGGCCAGUGCCUAUGUAUAGCGCCUUCGACGAGUCGAGUUGUUUGGGAAUGCAGCUCUAAGUGGGUGGUAAAUUCCAUCUAAAGCUAAAUACUGGCGAGAGACCGAUAGCGCACAAGUAGAGUGAUCGAAAGGUGAAAAGCACUCCGGAAGGAGAGUUAAACAGCACGUGAAAUUGUUGAAAGGGAAGCGCUUGAGACCAGACUCAGGCAGGGUUGAUCAACCUCCAUUCUUGGUGGUGCACUCUUCUCUGCCCGGGCCAGCAACAGUUUCGGCGGUGGUAUAAAGGUUUAGGGAAUGUGGCUCUCUUCGGGGAGUGUUAUAGCCCUAUUCGUAAUGCUGCCAGUUGAGACUGAGGACCGCGCUUCGGCUAGGUUGUUGGCGUAAUGGUCUUAAGCGACCCGUCUUGAAACACGGACCAAGGAGUCUAACAUCUAUGCUAGUGUUUGGGUGGAAAACCCUUACGCGUAAUGAAUGUGAACGGAGUAGGAUCCCCGCAGGGGCGGACGAUCUACCGAUCGUGAUGUUCUCGGGUGGAUAUGAAAUCGUCAACCUGCAGGCAUGCAGGCUUGACUCUGGACAGUCGGUUUACACAUCUUGAGUGGGAAAGGAAUACCCGUGGAAGA